GGGUGAUGGAUGGGGUCAACUCAUGUUAACUCUUCGACCUGGGUUGACUCUCUGACCAGCGUUAUUGGUCCUCCCAUUAUGGGCCUUGCUAAUCACACUCUUUAUUUUCUAUUUUUAGCAGCUUGUUUUUUUAUUUAUUUGUUUUUGUUUUCAUUCGGAAUCUAUUGGGCCUUAGGUCCUUUAUAUUUGCAACUCUGUUUUUAUCUUUUUCACUUAUUCACUUGA
rnacentral:lncRNA from 1 species